rnacentral:rRNA from 1 species
AGAUUCCUGUACCAGUGCUAAUUGUUUAACCGAUGGGGUGACAAAGAAGGAUAGGGAACCGCACGAAUGGAAAUGUGCGUCAAAGCAGUGAGUGUGAGAAGUAGGCAAAUCCGCUUCCCACGAAGCAUGAGCGGUGAUGGGGAAGGAAAUUAAGUACGGAAGUUCCUGAUUUCACGCUGUCAAGAAAAGCCUCGAGGAAGAGUAGUACUGCCCGUACCGCAAACCGACAAAGGUAGAUGAGGAGAGAAUCCUAAGGGGAGCGAGAGAACUCUCGUUAAGGAACUCGGCAAAAUGCCCCCGUAACUUCGGGAGAAGGGGUGCCCUAUAAGGGGACAAGCCCGAGAGAGACCCAUGACAAGGCCCGGGCGGGGCCCCUUUAUACACUUCCGGACCCCACGACCCGCCACCCCACCCUUUAUACCCGACUCUCCCGUAAGAAAAAAGCAGCACAAUAUACAGUGCGUCGCCUGCCCAAUUCU